GACGAACGCUGGCGGCGUGCUUAACACAUGCAAGUCGAACGGUAAGGCCCCUCGGGGUACACGAGUGGCGAACGGGUGAGUAACACGCGGGAACGUACCCUUUGGUUCGGAAUAACUUGGGGAAACUCAAGCUAAUACCGGAUAAGCCCUUAUGGGGAAAGGUUUACUGCCGAAGGAUCGGCCCGCGUCGGAUUAGCUAGUUGGUGAGGUAAUGGCUCACCAAGGCGACGAUCAGUAGCUGGUCUGAGAGGAUGAUCAGCCACACUGGGACUGAGACACGGCCCAGACUCCUACGGGAGGCAGCAGUGGGGAAUAUUGGACAAUGGGGGCAACCCUGAUCCAGCCAUGCCGCGUGAGUGAUGAAGGCCUUAGGGUUGUAAAGCUCUUUUACCCGGGACGAUAAUGACUGUACCGGGAGAAUAAGCCCCGGCUAACUUCGUGCCAGCCGCCGCAGUAA
rnacentral:rRNA from 1 species